CCGCUCGUACUCCCGGGGGUCC
rnacentral:miRNA from 1 species